AUCGUCUGUAAACAUUUCCAGAAAGUUUACUCGUGGUAUUUCCAUUAGCAAACCGAAUCUAUAUUUUCCCCUUAUCUCUAUUUUUCCUAUCUUCCUUUUGCUCGACCUUCGUGACUUUAAAGUUACAAUUUCUUCGAACGAAAAGUGAUAUGGAAUUCAUGAUCGCACGACGCCCGACCUCGGCGACCAACCUCGACUUUCAUAAGAUUAUACCAAGUUUAAGGAGAAUCAGCAAUUCGAGUUCGAAAUGUCACGGCGCGCAACCAGUUCCAGGAAUAUCUUUUUAAAAAAUAUUGUAUUUACAGUUUCUAGAACUAUUAUAAAUUACAGUCUUCGGGGAAUACUUCGGCAUAUCAUAAUUUCUACUGAUAUUGAUUUACUCGAGAGAUUAUCGAUCAAUGAGUCGAAAUCCGCACGUUGUUUCGAAUACACAGGCAUAAAAUAAAUGUACGUAACUGUAAUUAUAAAUGAGAAACAUUUUAAUAGAUAAGAAGGAAGCCAAAUUGAAAGAAGAGAAUUUUCCGGAGAACGUAUGUCUCAAAUUGUGACAUUCUGGAGAGUUGCCAAUUUGACGAAUUUAUCUAUAAUUAUCUGUAUUAUAUUUUUGAAACAUAAAACUUCAAGAAACUAAUAAAAGAUUCAAUUUUUGUAAA